CAUCGCCUCCUGCCCACUCAGCAUAGGAGGUCCCGCCUGCCCUGUGACCAAAAGUUUAACGGCCGCGGUAUUUUAACCGUGCAAAGGUAGCGCAAUCAAUUGUCUUUUAAAUGAAGACCUGUAUGAAUGGCAUAACGAGGGUUUAACUGUCUCUUUUUUCAGGUCAAUGAAACUGAUCUGUCCGUGCAGAAGCGGACAUAUUAACACAAGACGAGAAGACCCUAUGGAGCUUUAGACGCCCACCAACCGCGAAAAGCAGCCUACCUAAACAGAUGCUCUAAACAACGCGGUCCUGGUAUAAACGUCUUCGGUUGGGGCGACCGCGGAGGAGAACAAAGCCUCCAAGAGGAAUGGGAACAAACCCUAAAACCAAGAGCCACAGCUCUAAGUCACAAAAAAUUUGACCGACAAUGAUCCGGCUUACUGCCGAUCAACGGACCAAGUUACCCUAGGGAUAACAGCGCAAUCCCCUCCCAGAGUCCAUAUCGACGAGGGGGUUUACGACCUCGAUGUUGGAUCAGGACAUCCUAAUGGUGCAGCCGCUAUUAAGGGUUCGUUUGUUCAACGAUUAAAGUCCUACGUG
rnacentral:rRNA from 1 species